rnacentral:lncRNA from 1 species
CUUUGACCUUUCUCUUUAGGUCCCGCCUUCUCACACGCCACCAUUGGUGGGUCAUGUAGGGCCUACGCAAACAUUGGUCAAACUGCAUCUCAAUCAUUACCCUCACCAUGGCAACAGCCAAGAGACAGAGCAGCAGCAGCUUGUCAACAGUGGCACAUGGCUCCAGAACAGCGUAAAAAUGUCCAAACGCAAAUGUAAAUUCACAGACGAUUUCCAGAGAAAAUUCCCGUGUUUUCGUCUUGGUCGGGAUCCGUGUGAAGCAGAAUGCAUGGACCUGUAAAGCUGGCACGUACGUGUCAGUGUCAAAUAAAGGUGCUAGCGACCUAGAAGCCCACAUAAGCUCCUGCAAAACACAACAUUGCAGCUAAAGGAGAGAGUUGGUCAGGGAAAUGAACUGACUAUUUUGUGAGAGCAGGUCAAACAGAAGAUGCUGUUACUGCUGCGGAGGUCAGAUCCAUUACAGAAUCACCGACCACCAAUGGAGUCAGCAGGAGCAGCCAGUUCUCCUAAUCAGCUAGAGGAGCACGUUCAGCAGCAGGCUAAAAUGAUCCAGGAUCUACUGACGGCCAUGGAUGGCGUGCUGCUGACCAUGGAGAGAGUGGAGAGGAAAGGAUGUCCCGUCGACCCAGCCACACCACCGCCCGGUACACCUCUGGAGCCUAUCCAACCGCCGUCUGGAUCCGGUGGGAUUCGGCUCUCGCCCCCGGGACCGUAUGACGGAGCAGCUGCCGGGUGUCAGGGGUUCCUACUCCAGCUAGAGCUCUACCUGGCGGCUGUCCGGCCGCCGCCCUCGGGACGCGAGAGAGUGAGCGCCCUCAUCUCCUGUUUGACUGGUAAAGCCCUAGAGUGGGCCAACGCCAUCUGUGAGGUGGAAGACCCGACUCGGGAAAACUACGAGGAUUUCUCCCGCCGCUUUCGGGCAGUGUUUGAUCAUCCACCAGAAGGAAAAGCGGCGGGAGAGCGCUUGUUCCAUUUAAAGCAGGAGACGAGGAGCGCUCGAGAGUUUGCACUGGAUUUUAGAACUCUGGCGGCUGGUGCAGGAUGGAAUGAGCGGGCCCUGAUCGAUCACUACAGGUGUGGUUUGCGAGAGGACGUUCGUAGGGAGCUAGCCUGCAGGGACACCACCCUCCACCUGGACCAGCUGAUGGACUUAUCUAUCCAGCUGGAUAAUCGGCUGGCCUCCCGCAGACGUCCGGAUCGUGGUCCGUUGGUUCCAUCCUCCAGUCCCUUAGACCCAACACCAAUGCAGUUGGGCGGGGCUGGUCCUAGGGAGACCGGAGGGGAAACGUUCCAUGCACCAGAGGUGACCGCAGAGGACACACUGCUGGUCGGUGCUGGGGAGGUUUUCCAGGUCGUCGAGGUGGUAGGCGGAACACUGGUGGUUCAUCUCAGUGUGUGCUAGGGUAUCAGCCGGUCCUCACUCGGAGGAGACAUGGAACGCUGCCCAUGUACGUCUGCAACGAGCCAUCAGGCGGCAAAAGGCGAGUGCCGACAGCCACCGCAGUGAGGCCCCGGUUUAUGCCCCGGGGGAUCGGGUCUGGCUCUCGACCCGAAACCUGCCCCUUCACCUGCCCUGCCGGAAGCUGGGUCCGCGGUUUGCCGGUGGUAACUGGUCCGCUCCAGCAGUCAGAGGUACGGGAGGUUCCUCCGCCCCCUCUGGACAUCGAGGGGGCCCCGGAAUAUACCGUACGAGCCAUUAUGGACUCCAGACGUCGGGCGAGGGGCCUUCAGUACCUCGUGGAGUGGGAGGGGUAUGGCCCGGAGGAGCGAAGCUGGGUACCGGCGGAAGACAUCCUGCAUCCAUCGUUAAUCCAGGAUUUUCAUCGCUUCCGUCCGGAUCGCCCUGCUCCCCGUCCUCCGGGUCGUCCCCGAGGCCGGUGUCGGCGUGCUGCUGGAGCCGCGCGUCGGGGGGUACUGUCACGACUCCCGCCGAAGUCGACCCCUCUCCUUGUUCGGGCGGCGUUCGGCGGUCGACGUCACCGGCUUACUAGUUGCCACCGAUCGAUGUUUCACUGUUCGUUUGGUUUUGUCUUUAUUGUGUACACCUGCUUUGAGUUUCCCUAAUUAUGUUCAUUAUUUAAACCUCUGCAUUUCCUGUUUGUCUUGUCGGUGAUUGUUUGUCCGUUUAGUGUAGUUGGAGGUGUUUUCUCCAGACUAUGUAUUUUUAAGAGAAGAUGGAUUGAAUAAUUUUAGUAAACACGUUUUGUUUACCUUCAUCCCUGCGCCUGACUCCUCCACUUCUCUAAGAAGAUCCAUUACAGCGUCAUUUCACUGUAUAAGUCAUCACAUGCACAAUAGUCUGUUCAAUUGUCAAAAUUAGUAAAGAACAUAAUACCAUGAAUCCCUUGGAACAUUUGAUACAUUUAUUACAGCAAUUGACAGUCAGGUGAAACUAGACUGACGAAGGAGGAGUUUCACACAUCUCAGAUGACCAAUCAAACAGUAUGUUUAGUUACCUGACAGGUGCUGUCCAUGACUGUGAAUGCUGCCAAACAUGUAUGUAAAGAGCUUGACCAUGCAGGACCAGUACAAUUUCUGAACAUGGAGGCAACUGGCCAAGUAAAUGAACAAGGGCAACUGCCUGCUCGAGGAAGAGGAAGAAGAGGAGGAGUAAGGGUGCGUGGUGGUGGAAUAGGGGGAAGAGGCCGAGGAGCACGAAGACACCAUGCUGUCCCGGAUGAAAUUCGGGUCACAAUUAUAGACCAUGUCAUCAACCAUGGCCUCACAAUGGCGGAGGCAGGUCGCCGAGUGCAGCCUAAUGUGCCUUGCUCAACAGUCUCCUCCAUCAUCCAAACCUUUCGCAGGGAAACAGGAUUGGACGACAACCUUGCACGGGUGGCAGAGGAAAACUUCUCAAUGAACAACGAGAACAACAGAUCUGUAACAUGGUGAUGGCAAAUAAUGCCAUCACAUUGAGACAGAUCCGCGCUGCAAUCCUACAAGACAAUGCCAUAUUCCAAAAUGUCAACUCUAUAAGCAACUCCACAAUAGACCGGAUAUUGAAGAAGCAUCAGAUGACAAUGAAGCAAAUUUACAGGGUACCAUUUGAGAGGAACUCUGAUAGAGUGAAAGAGCUGCGGUACCAGUAUGUACAUAGAGAAUAAUGGCAUUGGAAGGAAACGAGACCCAUCACAUCCUCGUGUUCGUUUGAUGAAGCUGGCUUCAACCUGGCCAAGGGCCGAAGACGUGGCCGUAAUAUUAUUGGCCACCGGGCCACGGCGGAUGUCCCAGGCCAGCGAGGGGGCAAUAUAACUAUGUGUGCUGCCACAUCUGAGAAUGGUGUGGCCACUCACAUCCCCAGUCUUGGCCCAUACAAUACACAGAAGCUCCUCAUCUUCUUGGACAGCCUUCAUUUUUGAUUUGAUCCCUGAAAAUGAGAGAGGUCUCGUAGGGCCUCACCUACCACAAUAUGUCAUUGUAUGGGACAAUGUGAAUUUCCACCGUGGCCCGCUCAUCAGGGCCUGGUUCAAUACUCAUCCAAGGAUGGUCAUGGUGUUCCUACCACCUUACUCUCCUUUCCUCAAUCCUAUUGAGGAGUAUUUCUCCGCUUGGAGGUGGAGAGUGUAUGAGCAUCGGGCUCAAGAUCAGAGGUCCCUGCUCCAUGCAAUGGACGCUGCGUGUGAGGAUAUUACAGGAGAUCAGUGUAGGGGAUGGUUGCGACAUGCACGCCGUUUCUUCCCUCGUUGCAUCGCAAGGGAGAAUAUACGCUGUGACGUGGACGAGAAUCUGUGGCCAGACAGACAGCAGCGUGUGGAUGACCAGGAGGGUGAGGAUGGUGGCCAGGAGAGGGAGGGUGAGGACAGCGACCAGUGAAGAACUGUUAGUUGUGAAACUCCAGCUUUAUUUACAACACUGUAGGCUGCAUAUAAUUUACAUUGUUUUUUUGUUUGUGUGUUUAUAUUACAGUAUAUUAUGCUGUAUACAUUUUCUUUUUACUCUGAUGUAUGGAAGUUACUUUAUGUGUGUGAAUGAUAAUGGUUACAAUUUCCUUGGCAGUAUGAGCGCAAUGUGUGAUGUCAAACCUUGGAGGCUACUCUUACCCUAAAAUACUAUUUCUUUUUUUCAGUUUUAUACACAAUUGUAUUCUGUUAGCUGGACAACAAAAACAGUACAGUAACCAUUGUCAAUGAAGGACUGGGCUAAGACUGAAAGGUGGACAUGAGGGAUAUUUCAAUGGUCCUCUGCCAUAGUGACAAAACAUCUAAACAUUUUGACUUGCAGUGCUUACACAAUGCCAAAGGGACGAAGCAUUUUGGGAGCACUGACUGUUUAAAUGAGAAGGAAAUUUAGUUUUGGUUAAAGCACCAAGAGUGUUGAGAACGUCCGGUCUGUUUCAAGAAAUGAGCCAAAGCAAUUGAGAAGGAUCUUUGCCAUUUUCGUGGCACUGACUCUUUAUAUGGGAAAGGAAUUUUGUUCUGAAGCAUGAGUGAACAGCUUUAGGAGAGAUAUGAGCUUUUGCAAGUGAGCUACAGUGUUGUGCUGAACUGUAAGACUGUUUUGCCAAAUGAUCUUAGAGUUUUGAGAAUGUAAUUUCUGUUUCAAGAAAUGAGCCAAACCAAUGGAGAAAAACUGUAACAUCUGCAAGUCUGUGUAUGUGACCAAUACAGUUUAUUUGAUUCAUCACCGCCAUCUAGUGGCCACAAUAUAUAAAUCACACAGGGUUUGGUUCGGUACUCCAGGGUGUGGUUCAGUACUCCAGGGUGUGGUUCAGUACUCCAGGGUGUGGUUCAGUACUCCAGGGUGUGGUUCAGUACUCCAGGGUGUGGUUCAGUACUCCAGGGUGUGGUUCAGUACUCCAGGGUGUGGUUCAGUACUCCAGGGUUUGGUUCGGUACUCCAGGGUGUGGUUCAGUACUCCAGGGUGUGGUUCAGUACUCCAGGGUGUGGUUCAGUACUCCAGGGUGUGGUUCAGUACUCCAGGGUUUGGUUCAGUACUCCAGGGUGUGGUUCAGUACUCCAGGGUUUGGUUCAGUACUCCAGGGUUUGGUUCAGUACUCCAGGGUUUAGUUCAGUACUCCAGGGUGUGGUUCAGUACUCCAGGG